rnacentral:rRNA from 1 species
AACGAACGCUGGCGGCAUGCCUAACACAUGCAAGUCGAACGAGACCUUCGGGUCUAGUGGCGCACGGGUGCGUAACGCGUGGGAACCUGCCCUUAGGUUCGGAAUAACUCCCCGAAAGGGGUGCUAAUACCGGAUAAUGUCUUCGGACCAAAGAUUUAUCGCCUUUGGAUGGGCCCGCGUUGGAUUAGCUAGUUGGUAGGGUAAAAGCCUACCAAGGCGACGAUCCAUAGCUGGUCUGAGAGGAUGAUCAGCCACACUGGGACUGAGACACGGCCCAGACUCCUGCGGGAGGCAGCAGUGGGGAAUAUUGGACAAUGGGCUAAGGCCUGAUCCAGCAAUGCCUCGUGAGUGAUGAAGGCCUUAGGGUUGUAAAGCUCUUUUACCCGGGAUGAUAAUGACAUUACCGGGAGAAUAAGCUCCGGCUAACUCCGUG